ensembl:lincRNA
CUGGGGGCCCGAGCGGGCUGAGCUUGGCGCGAACGCGGAGGGGCCCGCGGUCCGGGCGCACCGCGUCCUCCAGAUGUUUUCCAGCGAUCCUCAGGGUUCAGCAAGCUCCGCCGAGAAGACGCGAAUCGGAGACCCUGGAACAGCCGCGCUCCGGGGAAAUGCAGAUUUGCGAAAGCGGUUCUAGGAAACGCGAUCGGUCCGUUGGCAGCAGCGUUCAACUCGAGUCUCGGCGAGCUGGGCUCGCACACGCAGAUGUGAAGACCGCGAGGACCCUCCCGCUCCCAGCUGGAUCUUUGAUGAAAAGAGCUGGUUCCCUCAAGUCCUAAGUAAACCCUGCCUCUCACCCAGCCCACCUAGGUCUUCCGGCCCCGCCUCUGAGACAAAGUUGUCUUUCUGCAAGGCUAGACCCCGGGACAAAGGUCAGCGGGUGUCCGCAGAUUGCUAUCCUGAUGCUUGGCUUUCCCUUCCCUUUACUUUUUUUUUUUUUUAACAGAAGUAACCCAUUUUCACUGAAGUUUAGGUCGAGCGUCUCUUCAUCUCAUCGGGUGAAGACAUUUGUAGUAAAAUGCAUCUGUUACAAUGCUUUGCUUUUUAAAGGAUGGAAAUGAAAAAAAUCAUCUCAUUCACUGUUUCGUUUUUUAAGGUGAUUGGAAUUGAAGACGUUCGUGCAAAAGAGAUUUUCUCUUAAAAAAUCCGAAUUACUCAGACAUAGAAAUAGUAACUUUUGCGGUGAAUAUCAACCCCAUGGCUGGUUGAGCAUACACAGAUCAACCCACUGGUGAAUUCCGGAGACUUUACAAGGAAAAAUGGCCCUGUUGUCCACUAACACAGAACUCUGACUCCUAUCCGCUCUUAAAGCAGAUGGUUGAGAAUGCAUGUUCACCAAAGACAUAGAGGUGUGCGAUGAUUAAAAUAAGGAUGGAAAGUCAAUUAUGUGCUAAUAAUCAUGUGUAGAGCACAACUCUGUUUAUGUGAGUUCGCAUUUGUUAAAUUCUGAUCAUAGAAACGAGAAGUGGGGGUCAUACCUAACACUUUCCUCUUUCGUAGUCCAGUUGACAAACUCAAAAUGAUCAAGUAACUUGCCCAAGGUCAUUCAGUAGUUUAUACAGUAGAACAGGUGUUCAUACUUCAUUUCCAUCUUCCAUCCCUUAACAAGACAUAUACUUUUUUUUUGAUACCGGAGAUCAAACUUGAGUUCUUGCUCUUGCAAGGCACGUGGUGGAACCACUGAGCUAAACCCCCACCCAAUUCAUGUAUUUUUGAGGGGAAAAAAAUAAAAAUGUUUACACUUCUGUGAGAAAAGACUUCCUCCGGCCUAAAUUUUACUACUUUUUACUAAAUGUACAAGGUGAAACAGCAAUCAACCUACUUUAGUUUGGUAACCAAAAAGGAGAAGUUUCAGGCUUAGCACUGUCUAGAGAUUGUGUCUCAGAACUAUUCAUACCCUCACAUUAGACACCUACAAAGUGCCGUGAGGUGUGUCGGCCUUGUCAACUUUCCACAAACACAACAAACAAUUCUCUAACUUUAAAGAACACUGGCACAUCAGGGGAGCACAUCUUCUGAGGUGAGCUUGAGUGAGAUUUUUUUUAGAAGAUUGAAAUAUAUCAUGUAUAGAUGUGCUUCUUAGCAAAAGCGUUUUCUUCUUGAGCAAUUGGCAGGUACGUGAGUCCCCAUCUCCCAUGACAUUCUGUCUACACCAUCCUCAGAAAACUAAGACCCAA